GACGAACGCUGGCGGCGUGCUUAACACAUGCAAGUCGAACGGAAAGGCCCUGCUUUUGUGGGGUGCUCGAGUGGCGAACGGGUGAGUAACACGUGAGUAACCUGCCCUUGACUUUGGGAUAACUUCAGGAAACUGGGGCUAAUACCGGAUAGGAGCUCCUGCUGCCUGGUGGGGGUUGGAAAGUUUCGGCGGUUGUGGAUGGACUCGCGGCUUAUCAGCUUGUUGGUGGGGUAGUGGCUUACCAAGGCUUUGCCGGGUAGCCGGCCUGAGAGGGUGACCGGCCACAUUGGGACUGAGAUACGGCCCAGACUCCUACGGGAGGCAGCAGUGGGGAAUAUUGCACAAUGGGCGGAAGCCUGAUGCAGCAACGCCGCGUGCGGGAUGACGGCCUUCGGGUUGUAAACCGCUUUCGCCUGUGACGAAGCGUGAGUGACGGUAAUGGGUAAAGAAGCACCGGCUAACUACGUG
rnacentral:rRNA from 1 species